rnacentral:rRNA from 1 species
UACGUAGGGUCCGAGCGUUGUCCGGAUUUAUUGGGCGUAAAGAGCGUGUAGGCGGCCAGGUCGGUCUGCUGUGAAAACUCGAGGCUUAACCUCGAGCUGUCGGCGGAAACCAUCUGGCUAGAGUCCGGAAGAGGAGAAUGGAAUUCCCGGUGUAGCGGUGAAAUGCGCAGAUAUCGGGAAGAACACCCGUGGCGAAGGCGGUUCUCUGGGACGGUACUGACGCUGAGACGCGAAAGCGUGGGGAGCGAACAGG